CGGACGGGUGAGUAACGCGUGGAAAACCUGCCGUAUACUGGGGGAUAACACUUAGAAAUAGGUGCUAAUACCGCAUAAGCGCACAGCUUCGCAUGAAGCAGUGUGAAAAACUCCGGUGGUAUACGAUGGUUCCGCGUCUGAUUAGCUAGUUGGUGAGGUAAAAGCCCACCAAGGCGACGAUCAGUAGCCGGCCUGAGAGGGUGAACGGCCACAUUGGGACUGAGACACGGCCCAGACUCCUACGGGAGGCAGCAG
rnacentral:rRNA from 1 species